AUGGCGACCGGCGCACGGUGAGUAACACGUAUCCAACCUGCCGAUGACUCGGGGAUAGCCUUUCGAAAGAAAGAUUAAUACCCGAUGGCAUAGUUCUUCCGCAUGGUGGAACUAUUAAAGAAUUUCGGUCAUCGAUGGGGAUGCGUUCCAUUAGGUUGUUGGCGGGGUAACGGCCCACCAAGCCUUCGAUGGAUAGGGGUUCUGAGAGGAAGGUCCCCCCACAUUGGAACUGAGACACGGUCCAAACUCCUACGGGAGGCAGCAUG
rnacentral:rRNA from 1 species